rnacentral:rRNA from 1 species
AUACAGAGGGUGCGAGCGUUAAUCGGAAUUACUGGGCGUAAAGCGCGCGUAGGCGGUCUAUUAAGUCAGAUGUGAAAUCCCAGGGCUCAACCUUGGAACUGCAUCUGAUACUGGUAGACUAGAGUUUUGGAGAGGGAAGUAGAAUUUCAGGUGUAGCGGUGAAAUGCAUAGAGAUCCGAAGGAAUACCAGUGGCGAAGGCGACUUCCUGGCCAAAAACUGACGCUGAGGUGCGAAAGCGUGGGUAGCAAACGGGAUUAGAUACCCUAGUAGUCC